rnacentral:rRNA from 1 species
GUCUACAGCCAAACCACCCUGAACACACCGGAUCUCGGCUGAUCUCAGAAGAAUAAGGCGAUAGGAAGGGAGCUGAAUGCAUUGAUCUCUAGAUUGUAUACA